rnacentral:lncRNA from 1 species
UCAAAAAAUUACAUUUAAAGUAAAACACUGCUCUUGCCUGGUGUAUUAGCAUCUACAGCAACAAAGGCAUUCAGACUGCUGCUCUGUCGGGUGCCCUACAAGUUCCCUGCAUCUCCAGUUUCAAGUAGUCUGAAAGAAUUUCUUGCAGGUUCUCUUAGAAUACUCCUUGGACUUGCUGAAAGGUAA